rnacentral:lncRNA from 1 species
ACACAAAUGUGACAAUUUUGACUGAAGUUUUCUAUUUGUAUCAUAAUAUGAAUACCAAUUACUUUUAAAUGCCAUUAAUGGUUUACAUAUUUUUUUCAGUACAUGCAUGAAGAUGACUUGGAGGCAAUGGUGUCAUACAUGUUAGUUUUAACUAUAAUAGCCUAACUGAAAUUUGAAAAAAGUUAUCAGAGGAAAAGAGUGACCACUUCUUUCUUAUGAAGAUCAACACACACAAGGAAAUUAUCAGACAAUUUGUAACCAGAUAUGGGGGCAGUAUUAGAUAUAUGCAUGAAAAGAAAGUGAAAUCAAUAUUUUUUAGAUAAAAGCUUGAUGAUAUAUAACAAAAAUAUUAAAACAGUGCUGAAUAUGAAAACCCCAUGCCAUGUCACAUGUAACUUUUGGAAUGCAGAGAUUUUCAGUAUUACAAUAAAAGGAAGGAUUUCAUUACUGUUAAAACUGACUCUGGAACAUUCAAGACAAAGAAAUAAAGAAAUAAAAACAUGAGAGGAAAUGACUGUGCACUUCUUUUUUGAAGGAUCAACACACAAAAGGAAAUGUUCAUAUCAUUAUGCAUCAUGUGCAGUAGUUGAGAUAAUUUUGGAUAUAUACAUAAAGCUGUGAACUAAGUGAUAAUUAUAAUUCAAACAUCAUAUGUGGUACCUGCAUGUACUUACUGGUAUAUAUAUUGUAAUUCACAACAUUUUACAUGGAUAUAUAGGAAUAUUCUUUGCAUGAUACAUGUGAAAUAAAAAAAGACAAGUAUAGGAAUAAAGAAUUAUCUAGUACAGCAUUAUCAUAUGAAAACCAGCAGGAUGAUACAUGUAUAUGUCUAUACAUUUAUUAUGGAUCAUGGAAACCUACAAGGAAGUAUUGUAUGCAUUGUUAUAAGGAUUAUUAGUUUAAAUUCAAUGUGACAUAUGCAAUGCCUUUUGUUUUAAUUUUGAGAAAACUAUUUGAAAUGAAUGAAAAAUUAUAAGUUUCUUUGACAUUGAAACCUUUGAAAUAGUCAUAUUUGUAUGUAAUAGGCA